AUUGAACGCUGGCGGCAGGCCUAACACAUGCAAGUCGAGCGAGCGGCAGGCGGGUGAGUAAUGCCGGGGACUUGCCAAGUAGAGGGGGAUAACAGUUGGAAACUACUGCUCAUACCACAUACGAAUGGAUUUCACAGGUGGGAUUAGCUAGUUGGUGAGGUAAUGUCUCACCAAGGCGACGAUCCCUAGCUGGUCUGAGAGGAUGACCAGCCACACUGGAACUGAGACCCGGUCCAGACUCCUACGGGAGGCAGCAGUUGGGAAUAUUGCACAAUGGGGGAAACCCUGAUGCAGCCAUGCCGCGUGUGUGAAGAAGGCCUUCGGGUUGUAAAGCACUUUCAGCGAGGAGGCGUUACUCGCAGAAGAAGCACCGGCUAACUCCGUGCCAGCAGCCGCGGUAAUAC
rnacentral:rRNA from 1 species